rnacentral:tRNA from 1 species
GCCAGCUUAGCUCAGUUGGUAGAGCAGCGCACUCGUAACGCGCAGGUCACAGGUUCGAGUCCUGCAGCUGGCA